rnacentral:misc_RNA from 1 species
UGAAUUUGAUGCAUGCAUCUUAUUAAAUCUUGUAGAAUUUAACUGUUGCGUCCCAAUUUCGGUGUUUAGCAGUUGAUUUGUUCUUGUACAAAAUGACGAUUUACAAGUUCAAUCAGAAGAUAUAUGCUAAGAAUGAAUCUAGUUAGGCAGAUCUUCUGAAGUAAUAGUAUGGCUCUUACUAGUAGGAGGGUAUCAUCAAGAGUUUUUGGAACAUUGGUAUGCUUAAUAGUGUUAUUACUUAAGGGGCUUGAAGUUCUCUGCUUACAAGGGCUUGGGUCAGUGAGUCAACUUCUUAAUGGUCUUAUCUGAGGCAACUGUUUAGGUAGAAUUUCAUACUGUACUAAUUCAUUGCUAUUCAUUGUUUACAAGUUCCAGUGGGUGAUUUACUUUGCUCGAUCUGAACUGCUGAGGGAAUGUAUUAUUGUACUUUAGGAUUUAAUUAACUUCCUAUCUUCUAGUGGAUUACUAUGUUAUGCAUGGUGAUGAGUAGGAACUUUGCAUUAGAUACAGAAAAUGUCAUGAUGAGUGUUUGUUGAACAUCCAUUGAAGUUUGCGUGCCAAGGUCAAUUGAAUACAAUUAAAGAGAAUGUUGUGUUGGGAUGUCGGUUGCCAUGAUUUAUAUUUGUCAAAGAGUGCCAAUUUCGAAUUGGUUGGCUUUAAAAAUGCAG